AUACGGAGGGUGCAAGCGUUAUCCGGAAUCAUUGGGUUUAAAGGGUCCGUAGGCGGACUAUUAAGUCAGAGGUGAAAUCCCACAGCUCAACUGUGGAACUGCCUUUGAUACUGGUAGUCUUGAGUUAUAUGGAAGUAGAUAGAAUGUGUAGUGUAGCGGUGAAAUGCAUAGAUAUUACACAGAAUACCGAUCGCGAAGGCAGUCUACUACGUAUAUACUGACGCUAAGGGACGAAAGCGUGGGGAGCGAACAGGAUUAGAUACCCCGGUAGUCC
rnacentral:rRNA from 1 species